rnacentral:lncRNA from 1 species
GGUCUUUGGCGUUGGUGACCUUUGGAUGGAGCGUUUGCAUGGUCAUCCUCUUUGUUGAUGUUGAUGCUAUUGCUUUCUGUUUGUUAAUUUUUUUUCUAACAGUCAGGCCCUUCUUCUGCAGGUCUGCUGGAGUUUUCUGGGGGUGCACUCCAGACCCUGUUUGCAUAGGUAUCACCAGCAGAGGCUGCAGAACAGCAAAGAUUGCUGCCUCCUCCUACUUCUGGAAGCUUCAUCCCAGAGGGGCACCUGCCAGAUGCUAGCCAGAGCUCUCCUGUAUGAAGUGUCUGUCGAACCCUGCUAGGAGGUGUCUUCCCAUCAGGAGGCAUGGGGGUCAGGGACCCAUUUGUGGAAGCAGUCUGUCCCUUAGCAGAGCUCCAGUGCUGUGCUAGGAGAUCUGCUGCUCUCUUCAGAGCUGGCAGGCAGGAAUGUUGAAGUCUGCUGAAGCUGUGCCCACAGCUGCCCCUUCCCCCAGGUACUCUGUCCCCGGGAGAUGAGAGUUUUAUCUAUAAGCCCCUGACUGGGGCUACUGGCUUUCUUUCAGAGAUGUCCUGCCCAGAGAGGAGGAAUCUAGAGAGGCAGUCUUGCUUCAGUGGCUUUGCAGCGCUGCAGUGGGCUCCACUCAGACUUAAUUCCUGGCAGCUUUGUUUACACUGUGAGGGGAAAACUGCCUACUCAAGCCUCAGUAAUGGCAGAUGCCUCUCCCCCAACCAAGCUUGAGCGUCCCAGGUCUACUUCAGACUGCCGUGCUGGAAGUAAGAAUUUCAAUCCGGUGGAUCUUAGCUUGCUGGGCUCGAUGGGGGUGGGAUCUACUGAUCAAGACCACUUGGCUGCCUGGCUUCUGCCCCCUUUCCGGGGGAGUGAAUGGUUCUGUCUCUCUGGCACUCCAGGCACCUCUGGGGUACAAAAAAAAACUCCUGCAGCUAGCUCAGUGUCUGCUCAAAUGGCCACCAAGUUUUGUGCUUGAAAUCCAGGGCCCUUGUGGUGUAGGCACCCAAGGGAUCUCCUUAUCUGUGGAUUGCGAAGACCGUGGGAAAAGCGUAGUAUCUAGACCGGAGUGCACCCCCACUCACAGCAUGGUCCCUCAUGGCUUCCCUUGGCUAGGGGAGGGAGUUCCCCAACCCCUUGCACUUCCCAGGUGAGGCAACACCCCACCCUGCUUCUGCUUGCCCUCCAUGGGCUGCACCCACUGUCUAACCAGUCCCAGUGAGAUGAACUGAGUACCUCAGUUGGAAAUGCAGAAAUCACCCACUUUCUGUGUUGGUCUUGCUGGGAGCUGCAGACAGGAGCUGUUCCUAUUCGGCCAUCUUGCCUGGGAAUCUGUAAUUAUAUUUUAUUGCAUAUUCUUCCUAGACUGGGUGUGUGUGUGUAUUUAUGUGUGUGUGUGUGUGUAUGUGUGUGUGUGUGUGAAAGAGAGACAGAAACAGAAACAGAGACAAGGAGACAGAGACAGUGAAACAGAAACAGAGUCAUCUUCCAGGUUCUACUUAUUAAGCAAUAUCCCAUGAAGUCGCUGAAAAGUGUUAUAUUCUCCUAAUACCUAGUGUUUGCAAAUCUGGCAGCUGUCACUGAUGAUUUAAACAAGAUUGGGUGACUUAUUUAUGUACACACACAUCCACAAUCAAACUUCAACAGUCGAGUGUACCCUUUUCUAAAUAAUCACAUUGCUAAAAUGUGCCAUAUGGCCCAUUUCUUUAAACAAUAAAUGGUAAAUUAUUAUUUUGGGGAGUGAAAGCUAAAAGAAAUAAUAUGUCUAAUACUAUGUGGCAUUUUCUGUAUACAGUACAGUUUUAGCAUUGAAAAGGACCUCAGCAAUUCCAUUUGCCCCAUUUUCAGAUGAGGAGAUUGAGGCUGGUAGUUACAGUGGUUUUGCUUCAUGUCCCAUCCCACUGGGGCUGCUAUGCAAGCUCUCAGUCUAGUCUUCUUUCCUCUACACUUAGUGGCCAUCAGCUGUAACAAGUCCUGACUAGACCAGGGCUUUGUUGCUGACUACAAUUCAAUGCCUUUUUUGCCUGCGUUUGUUCGGACCCUGCUAAUCAAGGCUACGGGGCAGCUGCAGAAAGACACCUGCUAUUGGCUUACCCGCUCCUCGCCUUCCCUCUGCUUGAGUCUGAGCAUCAGAAAGCCACCUUCCAGUGGGUCUUUGCCUUGCUUUUGUCUUGUCUUUGCUUUUUAUUCAUCUUUGCUUUUGUCUUCUCAGGGCAAAUAGGAAAUCCUAGACCUCAGAUCACUGUUCUUUGCUUCCCAAAAGACAGAACAGCUCAGUCCUGGCUGCUACCUUCUUUCUUUACUCUUGGUUUAAAUGUAAUCCCACAUGCCCUAGACAAGCCUCCUGAUGAUUUUUCAUCAAACAUGAAAAUAGCUUACUUUUAACUGCUGGGUGUCAGUCUCUUCUAAAAAUUUUGUUCCUAAGGAAUUGACUUUGCAAAUCAGUGCUUAAAGUCACUUUUUAACUGCCUCACAUAGUAUUGUUUCUUUGACAACUCUUUUUAAAGGGGAUUGCUCUCUUCUUCUUCUGGCUUCUCAAAUCUACUUUUAACUUCAAAUAGCAGUCAUGCAAUGUAGUUUUAUAAGAUAAUAUACUAGGACCAUCUAUCAGAUAUGAAACCAGCAUAAUCAUUGCAAUUAUUUCUACUGUAUUCAGAUAAUGAUAAUACAAAUAAGAGUAUGACAUAUGUAAAUGUUGAUUAGCUUUCUGGUUCCUUCAUCAAAACUUGCGUUGUGUUGUGCAGCCUUUUCUUUGCAUUGUCCAGGGGUUUUGUUAUUACAAACCAUAAUAUUUAACCCAUUUCUUCUACUAAUAUCUUUUAAUAUUUCUGCUAUUAUACAGCUUUUUUUUUUUGACAUGUAUCUAAACCAGAAAAAAAUAUUCCCUGUGCAUGAUAUUUUUAGGCAAAACCUAAUGUCUGGAGCACCAAGUGAAAUAACUGUGGAGAAUGGAAUGUUGGACAAUUUGUGUGGCCUGCUUAGCUUAAUUUGUUUCUAUGGCACAAGCAAAGCUCAUUAAUUCCAUUUAUUAUUUUAAGCCACUUGUUUGGUGUUAUGGAUUUUAAGAAUCAGUUGGUGUUAGAAUUUUUAAUAACACAGAGAAUAGCCAUUGAAUAUGGAACUCAAAUUAUCUAAGGUUUACCCAGAAGUCAAAAUCACUUGGCCCUCUGCAAAGUUCUCUUUGCGUUCCUAGGCCUGCAAAGUCUUUGGUCUGAAGUCUCAGAGCUUAAAUUGCAUUGGUCCUGUUAAUGUUUGUCAAAAAGGAAGUUUGGGCGGCAGUUUCAGGGUAGUGUUGAGAAGAUAACUCCUGGUCCCGUUUUAUUCUUUCCUCAUUUAUUCAGUGCUCAUGGCCAUCUACAACCUUCCUUGAUUCUAUUCUGCCUAAGCCUCUUAUUUCCACAUCUGUAAGUAUAGUGCUACAUAAUAAUUACAACCUUUAAGAAAAUGGAGAGUUUUCAUUAAAGGGCCCCUGCAAAUCUAUGAUGCUAGAUGACAGAUGCUACCAGAAGGCCAGAGUAUUAAUAGCACCCGUGAUAACUGUAAUAAGAAUAUGUCUCGUUUUCUUUUAAAGACAUAGAUAUUCCAUUUUAAUCCUGUAUAACUCAAAGAAAAUUUGGGUGUUAACACUUUGAAAUACUUUUACCUCCUUUGGGGGAAAUCCAAACUGAAAGGAAUUAAUAUCCACAUCAGUUCCUAAGGCAAAAUGCCUGACACAGACUAACAAAGCUCUUUCUCAUCCUGUGGUAGGAACUUAGGGGUGAUAACUCAUACUGAGAAUUUGUGAUCUGAAAACACUAAGGAAUUUCUGCCAUUGCAGGUAGAAAAAAAAAAGACAAAAAUGGUAUUCUCAGGUGAGCUUACCUUUCAAAUUUUUCUGAGACUUCCUAAAUGUGACAAGAACUCUGCUGUGUGGCAACCUUAUGUUUCCACAACAGAACAAAGGACCA